rnacentral:rRNA from 1 species
ACACGACUACAUUAGAUACCCGUGUAGUCCUAGCCGUAAACGAUACUCGCUAGGUGUCGGCCACGGUGCGACCGUUGUCGGUGCCGUAGGGAAGCCGUGAAGCGAGCCACCUGGGAAGUACGGCCGCAAGGCUGAAACUUAAAGGAAUUGGCGGGGGAGCACCACAACGGGUGGAGCUUGCGGUUUAAUUGGACUCAACGCCGGGAAGCUCACCGGAUAAGACAGCGGAAUGAUUGCCGGGCUGAAGACCCUGCAUGACCAGCUG